GACGAACGCUGGCGGCGUGCUUAACACAUGCAAGUCGAACGGAAAGGCCCUGCUUUUGUGGGGUGCUCGAGUGGCGAACGGGUGAGUAACACGUGAGUAACCUGCCCUUGACUUUGGGAUAACUUCAGGAAACUGGGGCUAAUACCGGAUAGGAGCUCCUGCUGCAUGGUGGGGGUUGGAAAGUUUCGGCGGUUGGGGAUGGACUCGCGGCUUAUCAGCUUGUUGGUGGGGUAGGGGCUUACCAAGGCUUUGACGGGUAGCCGGCCUGAGAGGGUGACCGGCCACAUUGGGACUGCGGUACGGCCCAGACUCCUACGGGAGGCAGCAGUGGGGAAUAUUGCCCAAUGGGCGGAAGCCUGAUGCAGCAACGCCGCGUGCGGGAUGACGGCCUUCGGGUUGUAAACCGCUUUCGCCUGUGACGAAGCGUGAGUGACGGUAAUGGGUAAAGAAGCACCGGCUAACUACGUG
rnacentral:rRNA from 1 species